GUUGUAUGGUUAAGUGACUAAGCGUACACGGUGGAUGCCUGGGCAGUCAGAGGCGAUGAAGGACGUACUAACUUGCGAUAAGCGCAGAUAAGGCAGUAAGAGCCGUUUGAGUCUGCGAUUUCCGAAUGGGGAAACCCAACUGCAUAAGCAGUUACUGUUAACUGAAUACAUAGGUUAACAGAGCAAACCGGGGGAACUGAAACAUCUAAGUACCCCGAGGAGAAGAAAUCAACCGAGAUUCCGGUAGUAGCGGCGAGCGAACCUGGAUUAGCCCUUAAGCACUCGGUGAAGUAGGUGAACAAGCUGGAAAGCUUGGCGAUACAGGGUGAUAGCCCCGUAACCGACGCUUCAUCGAGCGUGAAAUCGAGUAGGGCGGGACACGUGAUAUCCUGUCUGAAUAUGGGGGACCAUCCUCCAAGGCUAAAUACUCCUGACUGACCGAUAGUGAACCAGUACCGUGAGGGAAAGGCGAAAAGACCCCUGUGAGGGGAGUGAAAUAGAACCUGAAACCGUGUACGUACAAGCAGUAGGAGCACCUUCGUGGUGUGACUGCGUACCUUUUGUAUAAUGGGUCAGCGACUUAUAUUCAGUGGCAAGGUUAACCGUAUAGGGGAGCCGUAGCGAAAGCGAGUCUUAACUGGGCGCUCAGUCUCUGGAUAUAGACCCGAAACCGGGUGAUCUAGCCAUGGGCAGGUUGAAGGUUGAGUAACAUCAACUGGAGGACCGAACCGACUAAUGUUGAAAAAUUAGCGGAUGACUUGUGGCUAGGGGUGAAAGGCCAAUCAAACUCGGAGAUAGCUGGUUCUCCCCGAAAGCUAUUUAGGUAGCGCCUCGGACGAAUACUACUGGGGGUAGAGCACUGUUAAGGCUAGGGGGUCAUCCCGACUUACCAACCCUUUGCAAACUCCGAAUACCAGUAAGUACUAUCCGGGAGACACACGGCGGGUGCUAACGUCCGUCGUGGAGAGGGAAACAACCCAGACCGCCAGCUAAGGUCCCAAAGUAUUGCUAAGUGGGAAACGAUGUGGGAAGGCUCAGACAGCUAGGAUGUUGGCUUAGAAGCAGCCAUCAUUUAAAGAAAGCGUAAUAGCUCACUAGUCGAGUCGGCCUGCGCGGAAGAUGUAACGGGGCUAAGCAAUACACCGAAGCUGCGGCAAUGUCUUUUAGACAUUGGGUAGGGGAGCGUUCUGUAAGCCGUUGAAGGUGAAUCGUAAGGUUUGCUGGAGGUAUCAGAAGUGCGAAUGCUGACAUGAGUAACGACAAAGGGGGUGAAAAACCUCCUCGCCGGAAGACCAAGGGUUCCUGUCCAACGUUAAUCGGGGCAGGGUGAGUCGACCCCUAAGGUGAGGCCGAAAGGCGUAAUCGAUGGGAAACGGGUUAAUAUUCCCGUACUUCUGACUAUUGCGAUGGGGGGACGGAGAAGGCUAGGUGGGCCAGGCGACGGUUGUCCUGGUUCAAGUGCGUAGGCUUGAGAGUUAGGUAAAUCCGGCUCUCUCUAAGGCUGAGACACGACGUCGAGCUACUACGGUAGUGAAGUCAUUGAUGCCAUGCUUCCAGGAAAAGCCUCUAAGCUUCAGAUAGUCAGGAAUCGUACCCCAAACCGACACAGGUGGUCGGGUAGAGAAUACCAAGGCGCUUGAGAGAACUCGGGUGAAGGAACUAGGCAAAAUGGUACCGUAACUUCGGGAGAAGGUACGCUCUUGAUGGUGAAGUCCCUCGCGGAUGGAGCUGACGAGAGUCGCAGAUACCAGGUGGCUGCAACUGUUUAUUAAAAACACAGCACUGUGCAAAAUCGCAAGAUGACGUAUACGGUGUGACGCCUGCCCGGUGCCGGAAGGUUAAUUGAUGGGGUUAGCGCAAGCGAAGCUCUUGAUCGAAGCCCCGGUAAACGGCGGCCGUAACUAUAACGGUCCUAAGGUAGCGAAAUUCCUUGUCGGGUAAGUUCCGACCUGCACGAAUGGCGUAAUGAUGGCCACGCUGUCUCCACCCGAGACUCAGUGAAAUUGAAAUCGCUGUGAAGAUGCAGUGUACCCGCGGCUAGACGGAAAGACCCCGUGAACCUUUACUACAGCUUGGCACUGAACAUUGAACCUACAUGUGUAGGAUAGGUGGGAGGCUAUGAAGACGUGACGCCAGUUGCGUUGGAGCCGUCCUUGAAAUACCACCCUUGUAUGUUUGAUGUUCUAACUUAGACCCAUUAUCUGGGUUGAGGACAGUGCCUGGUGGGUAGUUUGACUGGGGCGGUCUCCUCCCAAAGAGUAACGGAGGAGCACGAAGGUGGGCUAAUCACGGUUGGACAUCGUGAGGUUAGUGCAAUGGCAUAAGCCCGCUUAACUGCGAGAAUGACGGUUCGAGCAGGUGCGAAAGCAGGUCAUAGUGAUCCGGUGGUUCUGUAUGGAAGGGCCAUCGCUCAACGGAUAAAAGGUACUCCGGGGAUAACAGGCUGAUACCGCCCAAGAGUUCAUAUCGACGGCGGUGUUUGGCACCUCGAUGUCGGCUCAUCACAUCCUGGGGCUGAAGUCGGUCCCAAGGGUAUGGCUGUUCGCCAUUUAAAGUGGUACGCGAGCUGGGUUUAGAACGUCGUGAGACAGUUCGGUCCCUAUCUGCCGUGGGCGUUGGAAGAUUGAAGGGGGCUGCUCCUAGUACGAGAGGACCGGAGUGGACGAACCUCUGGUGUUCGGGUUGUGUCGCCAGACGCAUUGCCCGGUAGCUAAGUUCGGAAUUGAUAAGCGCUGAAAGCAUCUAAGCGCGAAGCGAGCCCUGAGAUGAGUCUUCCCUGACAGUUUAACUGUCCUAAAGGGUUGUUCGAGACUAGAACGUUGAUAGGCAGGGUGUGUAAGCGUUGUGAGGCGUUGAGCUAACCUGUACUAAUUGCCCGUGAGGCUUAACCAUACAACACCCAAGGGGUUUUGUA
rnacentral:rRNA from 1 species